rnacentral:SRP_RNA from 1 species
GCCGAGCUCAGUAACGUGGGCUUGUAACCCAAGUGGGGGCAUUAAUGUGGUGGAAUAUUGGGCUGUCCCAGUAGGUUGGAUUUGGUGGGCUCAGAUCUGACCUGCCCUAUCCAAGCGCAGAGCUGUGUCACGUGGCCCAAGCGAAGGCAUGGGCUGCUUGACUCCUAAAGUGGGGUGGACUGUGUGAGGCUGGUUUCACAGAGCAACGAACAGCUCCCACUCUGAGCAGUGGAAGGAUAACGGGCCAGUGCUUUUCAAGUCCAGCAACGCCUGAUGGGCUACUCCAAUUAAACUACCAUUUUU